UACGAAGGGGGCUAGCGGUGCUCGGAAUCACUGGGCGUAAAGGGUGCGUAGGCGGAUGAUUAAGUCAGAGGUGAAAGCCUGGAGCUCAACUCCAGAACUGCCUUUGAUACUGAUUGUCUUGAGUUCGAUAGAGGUGAGUGGAACUCCGAGUGUAGAGGUGAAAUUCGUAGAUAUUCGGAAGAACACCAGUGGCGAAGGCGGCUCACUGGAUCGAUACUGACGCUGAGGCACGAAAGCGUGGGGAGCAAACAGG
rnacentral:rRNA from 1 species